rnacentral:rRNA from 1 species
GACGAACGCUGGCGGCGUGCCUAAUACAUGCAAGUAGGACGCAGUUGCGAACGGGUGAGUAACGCGUAGGUAACUACCUAUUAGAGGGGGAUAACUAUUGGAAACGAUAGCUAAUACCGCAUACUAGUAGAUGGACCUGCGUUGUAUUAGCUAGUAGGUAGGGUAAUGGGCUACCUAGGCCACGAUACAUCGCCGACCGGGGCAGGGGAUCGGCCACACUGGUACUUAGACACGGCCCAGACUCCUACGGGAGGCAGCAGUAGGGAAGCUUCGGCAAUGGGGGGAACCCUGACCGAGCAACGCCGCGUGAGUGAAUAAGGUUUUCGGAUCGUAAAGCUCUGUUGUUAAGGAAGCGGUACUUAACCAGAAAGGGACGGCUAACUACGUGCCAGCAGCCGCGGUAAUUC